rnacentral:tRNA from 1 species
GCCAGUAUGGUGGAUAUGACCCUCGGCAUGUAAUCGAGUGGGCUCGGGUUCGAAUCCCGAAUAAGGCA